GAUGAACGCUGGCGGCGUGCCUAAUACAUGCAAGUCGAGCGAACGGGCGAUGAGCUUGCUUUUCUGAAGUUAGCGACGGACGGGUGAGUAACACGUGGAUAACCUACCUAUAAGACUUGAAUAACUUCGGGAAACCGGAGCUAAUACCGGGUAAUAUUUUGAACGGCAUGGUUCAAAAGUUAAUUCGGUGCUUGCUGACACUUAUAGCUGGCUUCUUGCUGCAUUAGUUAGUUGGUAAGGUAACGGCUUCCCAAGGCAACGAUGCAUAGCCGACCUGAGAGCGUGAAGCGCGACUCUGGAAGUGGAACGCGGUACAGACUCCGAGGGGCGGCAGCAGUAGCUACUCUUCGGAGAUGGGCGAAAGCCUGCACGAUCAACGCCGGGUGAGUGAUGCGGGUCUUCGGAUCGUAAAACUCUGUUCUUAGGGAAGAACACAUGCGUAAGUAACGGUGCUCAUCGUGACGGUACCUAGUCAGAAAGCCACGGCUAACUACGUG
rnacentral:rRNA from 1 species